CACCAGACUCCUACGGGAGGCAGCAGUGGGGGAUAUUGCACAAUGGGCGAAAGCCUGAUGCAGCGACGCCGCGUGAGGGAAGACGGUCUUCGGAUUGUAAACCUCUGUCUUUGGGGAAGAAAAUGACGGUACCUGGGGAGGAAGCUCCGGCUAACUACGUGCCAGCAGCCGCGGUAAUACGUAGGGAGCGAGCGUUGUCCGGAAUUACUGGGUGUAAAGGGAGCGUAGGCGGGGAUGCAAGUUGGGUGUCAAAACUACCGGCUCAACUGGUAGUCGCACUCAAAACUGCAGCUCUUGAGUGAAGUAGAGGCAGGCGGAAUUCCUAGUGUAGCGGUGAAAUGCGUAGAUAUUAGGAGGAACACCAGUGGCGAAGGCGGCCUGCUGGGCGUUUACUGACGCUGAGGCUCGAAAGUGUGGGGAGCAAACAGGAUUAGAUACCCGUGUAGAC
rnacentral:rRNA from 1 species